rnacentral:lncRNA from 1 species
ACCCAUGUCUUUCCACUAUAGUCACCAGUAAGGUAAGAAAAUAUCUAUUUCCACAAGGUUUGAUAGGCCCAUAAACAUCUGAAUGUAUCAAUUCAAGGCAUUUUGUUGCUCUUUUUGAUCUUCUUCCUUUGAAAGUCUUCCUUUGCUGCUUUUUCAUAAUACAAACUUUAUGCAACGUGCUUGGCUAAUCCAUCUUUGGGAAGCUAGUCACCAUAUUCUCCAAAAGCUUCAAUUUUUUAAGAUUCAAAUACCCAAAUCGAAAAUGCCAAAGAGUUCACUCAUCUCGAAUAAUAGUUGUUGCUGUUGAAAUCGGUGA